GUGCUAUCAAGCAAUGUGUCAACCUCUUGAGGUCACUAUCAUUCUUCAGUGUAGUACUAAAUAUCCUGAAGAAGUUCAGGUCCCAAGUACCUAGAAGGGCCAGAAAUGGCCAGUCAAUAGGGACGUUCAUGGGCUGAAUUGUGUCCAACCCCUAAAUUCGUGUGUUGACGUCAUAACCCCUAGUACCUCAGAAUAAGAGUGUUUUUGAAGAUAGGAUCUUUAAAGAGGUAAUUAAGGUAAAAUGAGGCGAUACGGGUGGGCCCUAACCCAAUCUGACUUGUGUCCUUAUAAGAAAAGGAAAUUAAGACACAGACGUGCACACACAGAGGAAAGACCACGUGAAGACGCACCCAAAAGGUGGCAACCUACAAGCCAAGGAGAGAGGCCUCAGAAGAAACCAAACUUGCCAACACCUUAAUCUUAGACUUCUGGCUUCCAGAACUGUCAGAAAAUCAAUUUCUGUUGUUUAAGCCAUGCAGUGUGUGGUAUUUGUUUUGGCAACCCUAGAAAAAUGAAUACACGGACCAUAUUUUCCAAACUAAAAAUUAGGACAUGUAACCUGACAAAUACAAGUGAUUUAUAGAAUCAAUUGACUGAAAUAUCCUGUAUUUGAAACCCAGCCAUACCCAAUCUAUAGUCUUACUUCCAAAUAGGACUUGACUUAAUCCUAGAAAAAUACUUUUACUGAAUUAUUUAUAAAACCUUAGAAAAGGCAGUUUUAUUACCACAACUGGAAAUGUACCAAAUCCCAAUUCUGUAACCGAAGCUUUACUACCAUGCAUCUUUUUUUGUGUGUGUGAUGAAGAUUGGCCCUGAGCUAACAUCUGUUGCCAAUCUUCUUCUAUUUGGUAUGUGGGAUGCCACCACACCAUGGCUUGAUGAGUGGUGUAUAGGUCCAUGCCUGAGAUCCGAACCCGCGAAACCCAGGCCACCAAAGCAGAGUGCACAAACUUAACCACUGUGCCACCGGGCCAGCCCACCAUGCAUCAUUUUGACUCCAUUUAAAAACCAAACCAAAUGUAAUUUAGAGAGAAUUAAGGGCAGAAAUGAAUGGAUUUUUUGUCCUUAAUAUAUAAGUGUGGGCUAAAUUAUUGUAAGGCACAUUGUUCUAUUUUUAGGAGAAAGGAAACCUAAGAACCCUGAACGCCUUCAAGAAGACAAAUCCUAUAAGAGGAAUAGCCUAGACCAGCAUCUGCAGACUCUUAGGCCAACCAACUACAUAAUUAGAAAACACCUGGGGCGUGGGGGUGUGGGAAGGAAUUAUUUUAAAUGAAAUAUUCUUUAAGUUCUAAAUCAAGGAAUGAAUUGGAAUCCGGCCAUCAUUGUUGAUACAAGCCCGUGUUAAACACAAUGCCUGUUUUCUUCCUUAGAGCUAGAAUAAAAAAUCAAAGCUCUUAUUUAUGAAUAUACGCCACACAAAAAUGCUAACAUAUAUAUGUUUAAAAGCCCGUUGGGGAUCCAAAGAAAAUAAUGAAGCAUGUGGAAUCCUCGUCAAAUGCAAGCCAGGUGUGAACUUUUUUUUGCCUUUUGCAGGAAAGCUCCAGACUCACAGACCUCAUAUUAUAACUCUGCAUUUCUAUCCUCUCCAUAGGUUAGAGAAAUACAGCUAAGUGAAAAGGAAAAUUAAAUUAUAAAAGUUUCUGAAGAAGCAAUUAUUUGACUUCUGGAGUCAGAUGACAAAGUGCAACCAAAUUAUAAAAUUGCUCAAUUCACAAAAGCCAGUGAAGAAAAUAGGAAAAGCAUAGCUGGAGAAAAACAAAUCACAUCAACUUGUCCUUAAACCAAUGAGAAGGGAAAACCCGUAUUAAAUCCUUGAAAAGUGUUACCCAGAAAAACCUGUGGGUUUCCAAAGAUGGGAAGGUAAGAUCUGGCCUCAUAUCCCCAGAAGCAGUUCCAAAACAAAAAGAUGAGUGGCUAAAACGUUGGGAGAUAACUUCCUUGAUUUCUCCCCAAUUUAAAAGGAAGCAGUCUGAGAGGAUAGGUGGGUAACCCAGGGAAAUGGGUGAAAUGUCUCCCUCCAACAGAAGUUUCCACCUCUGUGUCCUCUGACGCACCCACCAGGACUACUGCGGAGAGAGAGAAUGUGCAUGGAAGCCCAGAGAUGAUCAGAUGAAAGACAAAAAAAGAAAAUAAGUAAGACAAAAACCACUGACAUCAUGGGGGUCCAAGGCAGGAGGUACACAGAAACUUCAUUUAAAAUCUUCCACCUCUCUUCAGAUUAGAAGUGCCAUCCCAAUAGAUAGGGUAUGGAAGAACCUCCACUACUUAUUAGCUGUGUGACCUUGGCCAGGUUACUUAACAUCUCUUAGCAUCAGUUUCCUCAUCUAUAAAAUGAGAAUCGUUACGAUAUCUACAUGGGAGGAAAAAAGGGGUUUUUAUAUAAAGCACUUAGAAAAGUAGCAGGCACUAGUAAACACUAUUACUGUAUAGUGUUGACUAUUAUUAUUGUUACUGUUGUUGUCGAAGUCCAUAAACCUCCCUCUCUUUUCGCCCUCUAGCUAGGACAGGUGUGGGAGGGCCUGUAGUGGGCUGGGCACCUCCUAAGACCCUGGUAAUUUGAACUCAAAAGGUUCCACUCCUGGCCUAAGGAAGCUCUCAAUCUGUUGGGCAGAGGGGCAGACGUAUAAACGAAGGACCCAGCCAAGCUCCAGCAGUGACUGCCCCAGUCUGCUCCGGGCAGGGCCCUCAGUCCCUGGGAGGGGAUUUCUUUGAGAGAUCCCUCUGCCAACACUAGUCAUCAACUCCAUGAAGAUACAGGGAAUCUCCAUUCCUCUUUCAGUGGCCGAUUGUGUUUUGGUCAUUUUUAAAUAGUCUGUUUAUGUUCUUCCAGCUCUUCCUGCUCUGGUGUUGUGCACGAACAUCACCACCCUGAAUCAGCCUCUUCUUGUCAUAGCUCUUGCACAAUUUGACACUUAAGCAUGGUACAUCAAAGUACACCACUUAUCCCCAAAGCUCCUGCUUUAAACACAUAAGUGUCCUGACUCAACAUGUACUGUGUCUCGUCCUUCAUUCCUCCUGAGUUAACACAGGAAUCCACCCUACAUUCUUAAUCUUCUUUUUAUGCCUUCUUACCCAAUCUGUGAUUCUUAAGAACAAAGAAUGGAAAAAUGGCUCAAAAAUAAUGCCAUGAUGUAUGACUGUACUAAUUGUGCACCAUUUUGUGAACAAGGAUGCUGGAGUUGUGUAGUCCACAACCUAAACAACCCUACACAACAGCUCUGCCAACAUGAGUUCCAACAGAAUGUGCAUCUGGCACAUGGGGAGCACAAUAGAGAGAGCUCAAGUCUAUUUGGGAAGGUCAGGGAAAGUUGUGCCAGACAAGCGGUCAUUUACCUGAGCCUUGAAGCAUGAGUAGGGGCUUUGCAUUCUUCCAAAGGUCUGGGGAAGGUGUUGUAGGAAGAAGAAUCAGUGUGUGAAAAGGUGCAGAAGCAUAAAACAGUACAACAUCCUGGCAUUACAAGAUCAGCAAGGACUGGGGAGUAUCUAGAUCAGAGGCGAUAACGGGAGGAAUAGAUGGAGGGGAAGCUGAAAUAUAAUCAUGUGGGGACUUGCGUGCUAUGCCAAUGCAUUUGAGAGUGUAGGGAGCCUGUAAGGGGGUCAUAGGCCUGGGGGGAUGGGUUACACAUGAUCAGAUUUGUGCUUUAGAAAAAUGACUAUAGCAGUGUAAAUACCAGACUAAAGGGGGCCUGGCUGACCUUGGAGACCACUCGGAGCCUCUCACCAUAGUCUGAGAACUAAAGAUGACUAUCAAUACUGAUCACUGCAGAGACUCCAGAAACAUUUAAGAAACACAAUAAACAAGAUCUGUUGACUAAUUGGGAUAGAGUAGGCUGAGUAAGACUGGGAGAACCAUCACACCCAGCUGUCCCUAGCUUUGGUAACUGAAUGAAGGAUAGCACUUGUCACCGAUUCUACAGGAGCAGAGGAAGAGCAGGUUUGAAAGGGCUGAAAUAGGUUGAAUUAGAAGAACCCUUGAGACACACAGAUAAAUACAUUGAGUUGUCCAUUGGUAAUUUGGGUCUAAAGUUCAAGGGAAAAGUUUGAGUUUGAUUUCAAAGUCACAAGAGUAGAUGACAGCACAUGAAAAUGAGAAGGGGAGAUAGCUAGUGUGGGUUAUUAUUUUGGGGAGUUUGUAAAGGAAAAUGGUCAAAAUGCAAGAUUGAGGAGGAUAUUUUUUCUAAUGCAACUUGAAAAUAUUAAUGGAUGCAAGAAACGAAAAAAGCAAAAGGGGGAGAUUGAAAUAUGAGAAAGAGGGACUAUUGGAACUCAAUCAGGAAGGGCACAAUUGAGAAGGUUCAUCCAGAACAGAGAUCUUUCUGAGACUACAGGCUCAUCAAGGUGUAGGCUGGAAAAUGAGGGCAUUCACAUCCAGGAAUUUUAUUUUCUCUAGAAAUAGAAAAUUAGUAAUUCAUUAAUUGUCAGCCUUCAAAUAAAUAUUUUCUGAGCACGUACUAAGCACCCUGGCACCACAAGAGGCAUCAUCUCUGUCCUCUAAAAGCUUAAAAUCUAUUGGAGUGGCAGGCAUUAAUAAAAAAAUCAUACAAAUAAAUGUAAACUCGCAACUGUGACAGAUGCUAUGAAAAAUUACAUGGUGCGAUAGGAGUUUAUAGUAAGAGGAACUGACCUAAUAAUGUACCAAUGAAGCCAUCCUUGCUGAGGUAACACAAGUGAGACAUGUCACUUGAUGAAGUGACGAGACUCCAGUCUGUAAGGUGGGGUCAACUAGAGAAGAAAGACAGAAGGAGCGUUCAGCUUGUGCAAAAGCCCUAUGAAAGUGGGGAGUAUUGGAAGUGCCAGGAGUAUUGGAAGAGCCAGGAUGAAGAGAUAGUCAGUGUGAAUGGAGCAGAAAGAGUGAGGUGGAGCACAGCCAAAGACGAAGCUGGAGACACAAGUAGGACCAGACCAGCCAGGACCUUGCAAGCUAUGCGGGAAGGCUCAUCUUAAUCUGUAAAGAACUAGGAAGCCAUUGAAGAAUUUUGAGAGGGGCUAGGGACAGAGAUCACAAGAUGACAUUUGUAUUUCAUAAAGUUGAUUUUAGCCACAGCCCAGAGAAAGGGUUAGAGCAGUCAAGAAAGCACAAGAUAGACGAGUGAGGAGGCUAGUUCUGUAAUUCCGGGAAGAGGUAACCACAGCUAGGAAAAGGUGCAAGUGUUGAAAACUGAGAGAGAAGAUGAUUUCCAAAGAUCUUUAUGAAGCGAAAUUCAAUAAGGUAAGGUGAAUGAGGGUUGAGACUGGCUCCUGGAUUUCCAGUCUGCACAGAGUUGGAUAGAUUGUUAAAAUGAAGUACCCUGGAAGUGGGCUGGGUUUAAGGGAAAGAUCAUCAGUUUACUCCUAGAUAUGUUGAUUUUCACGUGUCUUUGAGACAUUCAAGAGCAGGUAUCAAGUAGUCUGCUGACCAUUUGAGCCUGGAUCUCAAAGGAUAAGAAUUGACUGUAGAUAGAAAUAGUAGGCAUCAAGAGAGUAAGAUUGUUUGUAGAAAGAAUAUAGAGGAAAGGAGACGGCCCAAGGCAGAAUCAUUUUUUUCUUUUUACUGUGGUAACAUUGGUUUAUAACAUUAUAUCAUUUUCAGGUGUACAUCACUAUAUUUCAACUUCUGUAUAGAUUAUAUCAUGUUCAAUAUCCAAAGACUAAUUACAGUCCAUCACGUUAUACAUGUGCCUAAUCACAAGACAGAAUCUCAAGGAGCUCAAACAUUCACUGGCUAGAUAGAAGACGAAACUGAAAAGAAAAGAGAAGAAAUGGCCAGAAGGAUAAGAAGAAAACUAAGAUAGCUUCGUGGCACAGAAUAUAAGGGAUGAGAAAGUUUCCAAAAGAAGAAAUGUGGAAGAAUGUUGCCAAGAAGAAACAUGAGAGUGGAAAUGUUCAUUGGGUUGACAUGGAGGUCAAGCAAAAAGGGUUUUCACGUGAUAAGGAAGCCAGAAAUCACACUGGAGCAGGUUGAGGAAUGAGUGGGAGAAGAAGAAAAUGGAGACAGUAAAUAUAGAUGUGGCUGAAUCAUUGCAUGAACAUGAAAGGGAGUAAAAAUUGAGAAGGCCUUGAAAAGAAAGGAGGAAUGUUUAGAUGAGCAGCUGAGAGUUAUUAAAGAGAGAGCUGACCUAGAACAAGUAAAAAAAUAUAAUGAACUGGAGAAACAGACUUCCAUUAAUUUGUAGUGGCACCAGUUUGCCUGUAUGGGCAAUUCUUUCUAGCUAUCAUAGUCUGAACUUAGUUGGGAAAUACCAAAUUGUGGUUAAAAGAGAAAAAUAAAAAUGAAAACAAACCCAGGAAAACAAUGAAGCUGAGAGGCUUGAGAGAAGGAAGCUCAAAUAGUCCAUGGGACCCAGGCUCCAUAUGGAAGGAAUUGUGGUUCCCGGGAGGUUGACCAGUUAGCUGAAAACGAAUGAGUCAAAGGAUCGGCGACCUCAAUAAAGACACAAGGCCUGUUUAGGGGAAAUGCAGCAUUAAGAAAGCUGAAAUGGUAGGUGAAGCCAAUGCUGUCGAUGUCCCCCCAACAUCCCUGCAGCGAUCCUUAUUUCUAUGCCUCCUACUCUGGCCAGACUGUCACUUGCUUUUGGCUCAGUGCCUUUUCAGGCCAGAAAUACCAAGCAGCUAAUGUGCCCUAGAAGCAGCCCUCAGCCAAUGACUGAUGGAAAUUGGUGGAUAACCACCAAGUUCCUUCAUCUUCCCCCAGGUGGGAUAACUCUGAGGGAUGUUCUGCUUCCUUCUCUUCCUUGUCUCAGUGCCCCCACUCCCCUGCUGGGAUUAGCUCCCAUUAAACUACUCAUACUGGAAUCUCUUUUUGGGGUCUUCUUCUGGGGACAGUCAAACCAAAAUAUUUUGUAGGCUCUUGCUGUUGAAGUUUUCAGAGCUGACACUGUUUGGGAGUAAAAAUGGUGCGGGAUGUGCUAGUGAUACAGGGUUGCAAAAAUGCAGUGGACGGAAAUGCUAUUGGUUCUGAGAUCAAGAAGCCUUAGAGGCCACCAUGUGUGGGGUUAUCUACAUGGAUGUCAAAUCAACCCUAGAUGUCAUAGAUGGUGACCUAGAAGAGACCAUGAACCAUGUACGAAGAUUUUCUAUAACAUGGGAGAGAGAUCAGAAGAUCAGGAGAUGACAGGGAUCCACAGGGGUGUAGGGUGGCUUAGGUGGAUGGCAUGACCCAAAACAAAGACACUGUUUAAACAAGUGAAAUGGAGAAAUGUCUAGGCACAGGAAAGGGGUUGAGGACAAUGUGGACUCCCUCUCCCAGGUUAAGGAUAUGUAGACUGAAGAAAGAGCAGGCCCACUGCAGAGGGCCUAAUUCAAGAAAAAUGAUGUCCCUAUGGGAGGACAACAGAUUAGUCUACAAUGAGUUGAAGAUAUAGGGAAAGUCUGUACAAUGGAAAUAAUAGGAGAUUCCAGAUGGUACAGUUACAAGGUUUAGGAUGGAGGUCAUCAGGGAGAGGAUGAAUCAGAGAAGAUGAAAUAGAGAAGGGCAUGAGUUAGAGGGAGAAAUAUUAGCUAGAGUUAUACAUUUUGAGCAAUGCCUUGAUGUGAAACUCUCCAACCACCUCUGGGGCAGGGUCCCAGGGACCUGAGGCCCACAGUGGCACAGCCCAGGAAUGGUGGAAUCGGAUAAACUGAGGCUCUAGAGGCCAGGCUGCCACUAGCCAAUAUUCCUUGCUGCCUCUGAGGUUAAGGGCUCCAAGGACUCUUUCAAAAGCAGGAGCAGGAAUUUGUACUUAUAUCAUGCAAUACUUAAAAAAAAAAAGUGGUGUGCAAAACAUGAUUGUGUGGAAAUAUACAAAAUAAUAAAACAAUCAAUUAAUAAUUGUCUUCCUUUCCUUUUAAUGCAGUCUUUUCUUUUAUCACCAGUCACUAUCAAAAUAAACAGAAUUGGCGUCCAGCAGCUGACAUUAAAAGGACUAUUAUUAUCUGUCCAGGAUUCAUUUCAGAAAGGAAUCUGCUCUGCAGCAACUUCUGAAUUGGGUUGGGUCUGUGUUCUUUGAUGCAUUACAGAAGUUAGUGGAGAACAGUUUAAUGUAAUAAUCUUCUGCCUAGAAGGAAGAGAGACUCCUGGAAAGAUGGGAUGAGUCACGUGGUGGGCCCUGCAACGGUUGGCACAGACCCCCCUCACGAAUGAAGGCUUACUCUCCAGCUGCUAACAGUGUUGCAGGCCCAAAACCCUCAGUGUAUUGUCUUCCAUGGGGAUCGCGACAGCUGAAGGAAUUUCUCCACUCAAGGUCACAUCCUCUGCCCGGGAUGCCACAUCUAGUGACUGACUUAUAGGAGAUAUAAAGGCCCCAAAUGGGUCAACUCUGAAGGGCCAUCUUGGUUUCAGAGCUCCUAGUGGGAUUGGCUGGAGCCUUUGUCAGAACUGCAUCACAGCUCAACUUACCUCACUUAAUCCUGCUUCCUUCCUCUCUUUGUUGCAGGAGUCAACCUCAAAAACACUCCCUAACAAACGUCCUUCAUUUACUCUCCAUCACAGAGUUCCAGGAGCCACAAAUGACGUGGCUCCUGAAAGAGGAAAACUUCAGGAAAUCUGAUCUGAUGCUGCAACAUUGGUUUAUAGAAAAUAUAAUGCCAUUUGCUAGGUAUUGAAGAGGGGGAGAGCUUGUGCAAACUCAUAUGAACUUGGAAUUGAAUCCUCACCUUUGAUUUUCUCAGGGGAAGAAAUAUUCUGAAGAAUAUCAAGAUGAAGUAUGAUGAGAAUUCAUCAAGUUAAGAUUCAGGUUAUUUGAGGAUCCACAAGAUAAUCUACUGAAGAGUUUCACAACCCAUGGUAAGCACAAAGUAUUGGCUAAUACUAUGAUUGUGGUGGAUUUGCAAGUCCACCUGCCUACAGUUUCAGAGGUUUUUUUAAGUGAAAUUCACAUAACGUAAAACUAACCAUUUUAAAGAAUACAAUUCAGUGGCAUUUAGCAUAUUCACAAUGUUAUGCAACCAUAACCUCUAUCUCCAAAACAUUUUGAUCAUCCCAAAAGAAAACCCUAUACCCAUUAAGCAGUCACUCUCCAUUUUCUUCCCCUCAGCCCCUGGCAACCAACAAUCUGCUUUCUGUUGCUAUGGAUUUACCUAUUCUGGAUAUUUCAUAUAAAUGGAAUCAUAUAGUAUGUGACAUUUUGGGUCUUCUUUCUUUCACUUAGCAUAAUGUUUUCAAGGUUCAUCUAUGUUGUAGCUUAUAUCAGAACUUCAUUCCUUUUCAUGGUUGCAUAGUAUUCCAUUGUAUGUAUAUGUCACAUUUUGUUUACCAUCCAUCCAUUGAUGGACAAAGUUGUUUCCAC
ensembl:lncRNA